AUCUCUUAUAUUAUUCUGGGUAUUGAAGUGAUAAAAUAAAAAUUAUGUUAUUUUGUCUUAAGUUUUGGAAUUACAAGUGUAAUUCUCUUCUAUUGGAUAAUCAAAACUGAAAAGUCAUUUCCUCUUGAGUUAAGAGCAUAGGAAAAUAACUCUAAGAGAGAUAUGGGCGAGAUUCAUUUUGGAGGCUAGAGACAUUGUUUAUUAUUCUUUUCUAGUGUUUUGAAUGUAUAAGAGUAACUAACUCCCUCAUUUAGAAAGUUUUAAGGUAAUGUAUCUUCAAUAUUUAUGAUUUCUACUAUUCAAUAUCUAUUUCUUUUUCAUUACUCUCAUGUUUUAUUUUCAAUCCUAACUACAUGAAUUGAUUGAUUACAUAUAUGUGGGUAUCUAAUUAUUGGACACGAGAACCUAGAGUGGAACAAAACAAUUAAUUGAUUGAGCAUCUAGAUAGAGUUCAUCAUUAGUCAUUCCUAAUAUUUAAAUUAAUGUUUAAUUCAAAAUUUUAAUAAGUAAAGGUCUAAGACAUUAGGGUUCUUGUUGAUAUGUUUAGACUUGUCUUUAAGACAUGAGGACUUGUCAAAUAGUGGCGUGAAUGCUAGGAUAGAAAUUGGAAGUAUAUUAUUUAGUUUUAUUCAUAUUGAUUUGAUGCAUGAAAUCUAACCCGAGUGAAGUCUUUAUUAUAUAAUCAUUUCACAAAUUUUGUUGCUUUCUCAGUUUUAGAUUUAUUUCGUACACAUAAAAAAAAUUUCAUUCUUCUAAAGUUCUUAGCCUUAAUUAGUAAAAAAACAUAAAGUUUUCUUAAUAAUGUAAGUCUA
rnacentral:lncRNA from 1 species